AUACGUAGGGUGCGAGCGUUGUCCGGAAUUACUGGGCGUAAAGAGCUCGUAGGUGGUUUGUCGCGUCGUCUGUGAAAUUCCGGGGCUUAACUCCGGGCGUGCAGGCGAUACGGGCAUAACUUGAGUACUGUAGGGGAGACUGGAAUUCCUGGUGUAGCGGUGAAAUGCGCAGAUAUCAGGAGGAACACCGGUGGCGAAGGCGGGUCUCUGGGCAGUAGCUGACGCUGAGGAGCGAAAGCAUGGGUAGCGAACGGGAUGAGAUACCCUGGUGGUCCAUGCCGUAAACGGUGGGCGCUAGGUGUAGGGGUCUUCCACGACUUCUGUGCCGUAGCUAACGCAUUAAGCGCCCCGCCUGGGGAGUACGGCCGCAAGGCUAAAACUCAAAUGAAUGGACGGGG
rnacentral:rRNA from 1 species